UACAGAGGUGGCAAGCGUUGUUCGGAAUUACUGGGCGUAAAGGGCGCGUAGGCGGCCUACUAAGUCAGACGUGAAAUCCCCCGGCUUAACCUGGGAACUGCGUCUGAUACUGGAAGGCUUGAGUAUGGGAGAGGGAUGUAGAAUUCCAGGUGUAGCGGUGAAAAUGCGUAGAUAUCUGGAGGAACACCGGUGGCGAAGGCGGCAUCCUGGACCGAGAUUGACGCUGAGGCGCGAAAGCCAGGGGAGCAAACGGG
rnacentral:rRNA from 1 species